rnacentral:lncRNA from 1 species
CAUCUCAAAAAAAAAAGUUAAUAAAAUAGAAAAUAAGUGAAGUCAAACAAAAUUGCACAUAGGGUAUAAUUUCAACUACAUAAUUUUAUACAUCAAAAAUACUGGAAGGAACUAAACUAACACAGUAAUAGCAGUGAUUUCUGUGCCACAGAGUUUAUGGGAGAGUAAUCUUUUAUUCUUCCUAUGACUUCUUAAUUAGAACUUAAAUAUAAGCAGAAAAAUUAUUAUAGAAACAAGGGAGUAUGGGAAUGUAAUCUCAGCAUUUUAGGAGGCCAAGGUGGGAGGAUCACUUGAGGCCAGGAGUUUGAGACCAGCCUGGACAACAUAGUAAGACCUCAUCUCUAUAAAAAAUUAAAAUUAAAAAAAAGAACAAAUUUGAAAGACUAAUGCUUCCUAAUUUCAACUUACUACAAAGCUACAGUAAUCAAAAGAGGAUGGUGGCAAAGAGACAGACAUAUAGACCAGUGGAAUAGAUCAGAGAGUCAAGAAAGUAAACCCACUUAUAUAUGGUCAAUUGAUUUUUGACAAGGAUGCCAAGGCUAUUCAAUGGGAAAAUAAUGGUCUUUAACAAAUGGUGCUAAAAAACUGGAUAUCCACAAGCAAAAGCAUGAAAUUGGACCUUACCUUAUACCAUACACAAAAAUUAACUUGGCGAUUCCUCAAGGAUGUAGAACUAGAAAUACCAUUUGACCCAGCCAUCCCAUUACUGGGUAUAUACCCAAAGGAUUAUAAAUCAUGCUGCUAUAAAGACACACGCACACGUACGUUUACUGCGGCACUAUUCACAAUAGCAAAGACUUGGAACCAACCCAAACGUCCAUCAAUGAUAGACUGGAUUAACAAAAUGUACCACAUGUACACCAUGGAAUACUAUGCAGCCAUAAGAAAGGAUGAGUUUGUAUCCUUUGUAGGGACAUGGAUGAAGCUGGAAACCAUCAUUCUGAGCAAACUAUUGCAAGGACAGAAAACCAGACACUGCACGUUCUCACUCAUAGGUGGGAAUUGAACAAUGAGAACACCUGGACACAGGGUGGGGCACAUCACACACCGGGGCCUGUCGUGGGGUCUGGGGAGGGGGAAGGGAUAGCAUUAGGAAAUGUACCUAAUGUAAAUGACAAGUUAAUGGGUACAGCACACCAACAUGGCACAUGUGUACAUAUGUAACAAACCUGCACGUUGUGCACAUGUACCCUAGAACUUAAAGUAUAAUAAAACAAAUAAAUAAAUAAAAAUAAAUUUUAAAAAAUUAACUCAAAAUGUAUCAAAGGCGGCUGGGUGCGGUGGCUGAGGCCUGUAAUCCCAGCACUUUGGGAGGCAGAGGCAGGCAGAUCACUUGAGGUCAGGAGUUCAAGACCAGCCUGGCCAACAUGGCAAACCCCCUAUGUACUAAAAAUACAAAAAUUAGCUGGGCGUGGUGGCGUGCACCUGUAAUCCCAGCUACUUGGGAGGCUGAGGCAGGAGAAUCGCCUGAACCCAGAAGGUGGAGGUUACAGUGAGCCGAGAUUGCACCACUGUACUCCAGCCUGGG